rnacentral:lncRNA from 1 species
CUACAGAGUAAAACUUCAGACAAACACCUGGUAGAAAGGGUAAUACUGUAGAUUUCUAGAAUCUAGCCCAAUAGUUUUAUUGAAAUACAUACGCAAACCAGAACUUUCCAUGGAAGAAUUAACUUUGAAGCCAGGAGAGGCAUAGGUAAUGACUGCAUAGGUAGAAGUGGGCACUAACAGGAAUUAAGAACUGAAUUUCCUAAGGACAGAAAGGAAGGAGUGCAAGGACACUGAUACUGAUCAGUUUCAGGAAACAACCUGAAACAUGAAGUAUGAAGGAAAUUGACACAGAAAGCAAAGCAGAGCAUCGAAACGCCUGCCAGCAUCUUCCUGCAUUGGGGCUUCACAAUAGUAUGAGUUCAGCCACUGGAGGGCAACAUGAGCUCAGUCACCUGAAGCACUACAGCCUGGAGAACUCAGCAGCACGCACCCAGCAAGAACAACCAAAGUCAGAAAAGGAAUUUCUGCAUAAAGGAUGUUUUCUUGAGUUCUAAAUCGCUGGAUUAGCCAAAGUGUUUCUAAAGGACAUCGUGCAAGGCCCGCUCAGCCUGGUAUAACAAGAGGUGAAAUAUUUCACACUGCUAAGUAACUGAAAACCUGACACGUGUUUCUACUCUUGAAAUAACUCUGGCAGACUUUUCUGGAUUAGUUGUUGCAGCAUAUGAGUUCUUUGCUGUGUUUUAGAAGACUAUCAGCAGUGUAGGUCUAAUUUUCUUUAAAAUAAAUAUAAAUAGUUUGGCUAAAAAUACAGAAGAGAAAUAGUUUGGUUUCACAGUCUUCCUCGCCUCUCUUGUGCUGUAAAUUUUUGUUUGUUGCCAUUAUCAAUGCAGUGGUGUUUUUGGAAAGCACUUUCCUGCAGGGACAUUGUUCUGGACAAAAUAGCUAAGAUAACUCACUGUGUGACAGAUUUGCUCUGUGGAUGCAGCAGUAUAAGCUUUUAGUACCCUCCCUGUUCCCCAGAAGCCCCCCCACCAGCAACAUGCAUGUAU